AGUGAACGCUGGCGGUAGGCCUAACACAUGCAAGUCGAACGGCAGCACAGUAAGAGCUUGCUCUUACGGGUGGCGAGUGGCGGACGGGUGAGGAAUACAUCGGAAUCUACUUUUUCGUGGGGGAUAACGUAGGGAAACUUACGCUAAUACCGCAUACGACCUACGGGUGAAAGCAGGGGAUCUUCGGACCUUGCGCGAUUGAAUGAGCCGAUGUCGGAUUAGCUAGUUGGCGGGGUAAAGGCCCACCAAGGCGACGAUCCGUAGCUGGUCUGAGAGGAUGAUCGGCCACACUGGAACUGAGACACGGUCCAGACUCCUACGGGAGGCAGCAGUGGGGAAUAUUGGGCAAUGGGCGCAAGCCUGAUCCAGCCAUACCGCGUGAGUGAAGAAGGCCUUCGGGUUGUAAAGCCCUUUUGUUGGGAAAGAAAAGCAGCAGGUUAAUACCCCGCUGUUCUGACGGUACCCAAAGAAUAAGCACCGGCUAACUUCGUG
rnacentral:rRNA from 1 species